ACUUUCCUGCUUGCCCUGAGCUGUAUCGACUGCCUUCAGUGCAUUUGGUGAAGCAGAGAAACGAGUUGAAGAAUCAGUGGGCCCUAGACAUUGGCUCCUGGUGGGCACGUCCCCGUCACCUCUCUCAGUCUUCUCUGUCUCUGUCUCUCACAGCCUUGGCUCCCAGACCCCCUGCAGCACACACAGCGUGCUCUGCUCUCUGCCAGGCACCUGGGAUUCUUGGUUCCCACUCUCGUCCGUCUCCGUGAGCUGGUUUCCAGUCUACACUCGCCAGAAGGAGGUUGGAGUAGAGACUGAAUGCCAUGCAUGACAUGUACCAUAGCCUGGAACAGAUAUGUUCUCCAUCUUCCCCUGACCAAGUACUGCUCAUCCUCCGGUUUUGGGGUUAGACUUCAACUGCUGGAGAAGGCAUUACCUGACCCCCCGGUCUAUUUAGAUGGCCCACCUCAUGUCCUUGCUGAAAAUCCCCAAUAUCAUCCUGCAAUUUUCCAUAACAAACCUCAUAUUCAAUAUA